rnacentral:rRNA from 1 species
CGCGUAGGUGGUUUGUUAAGUUGGAUGUGAAAGCCCCGGGCUCAACCUGGGAACUGCAUCCAAAACUGGCAAGCUAGAGUACGGUAGAGGGUGGUGGAAUUUCCUGUGUAGCGGUGAAAUGCGUAGAUAUAGGAAGGAACACCAGUGGCGAAGGCGACCACCUGGACUGAUACUGACACUGAGGUGCGAAAGUGUGGGGAGCAAACA